AGCACACGAUUUAAAAAUAUUUUGAUCACAGCUUCACUUUGCAAACAAUUCAUAAAUAUUUAGCAAAUGAAAUUAUUAAUGUGAAUCAUUGCAGUAAUACAUCAACAUUGAUAUGUUUGAACUUUGCUAACAGAUCUUCACUGACUUUAGGUGUGGAUAUAUUGGUUGGCGUCACUGAUUUCCUUUUUGUGUGAUUCAUCCAAAGAAAAUUAUUGUUGUGAGCAAUCUCUUUCCCAUCCUGUCUAUGUAAAUAAUAUGUGUAUUACUGGUCUUCUCCUCCUAUUAGCUAUGUUUCUUCUUGGCCAAUUUUAGAAAUAUAUUACUCAUGGUGGGAUAUGUUUGAGACUACACAUUAAUUCAUGGCAUCUAGAAGCCAUAGAGCUGUACAUGGGAGUCUCACGAUUGGAUAGUUUGAUGAUUUUAGAAUGUUUUGGAGUCCUUGUACUACAAUUAGAACAGAGUUCUAAUGCUAGUGCUUUUGUUAAAUUAGGACUUUUUCCUUUAUCACAAUAUGAUUGAUUAGCAUGGUAUGUAGAACAGACUUCUUUGUACUUUGUAUGCAAUGAUUUUAUUUAUUUAUUUUUUCUUUUGCCAUGUGUACAAUUAGUUAUUAGCCAUAUAGAGCAAACUUUCUGGUUUUCUUCUGCUUGCCAAUAAAUGUUUUAAAGAAAGUCACUUGCUUUGCAGCAUUCUCAAUUUCUUGUUCUUAAAAAUGCAUGCACUGUCUUAUCCGCUCUCUCCAAUAUCCUGUCUGCAUUUUGUAUUAAUCUGUUUGAAAAAGUUUUUCCUAAUGUAGGAAUAUUUGGGAAUCGAUUUUGAAUUUAAAGGUCUUGUUUUUUGUUCGGAUUUUCCGUGUCCAUGCUGAAACGCAGUUCUUGUUGCAGGUGUAUUUGGGUGGACAAUGCAUAAACAAUCCUACACUGUCAGAUGUUAUGUUUCUAGUUGAAGGUAAACGGUUCUAUGCCCACAGAAUUGCUUUGCUUGCUUUUUCCGAUGCAUUCCGUGUAAUGUUUGGCAGCGGUUAUCAGGUGAGUCUAGCCAUAUUUUCACAUUCAACACAUGGUACAUCAGUACAUUGUCACACAUCUUCACACAAGGUGAUUUGCAGGCUUUCUAGUCAAUAGCAUCUCCACCUACAAAGCCAUGGCAUGGUUUCUUGGAAACAACAGCUUGUCCGAUACACUGCCAUCCCAAAAAAGCUAUAAACUUCUUAAUAUGUUCUAGGCAUGGAUGAAUGGGAGCUAGAUCAAUGGAUUUUAUUUUUAUUUUUAUUUUUUUGAAACUAUUCAAUUUAUUAUUGUAAACAUUAUUCGUGGCAGCUCUAGUAGAGUAGAGAAGGGAAAUGGCUACAACAUCAAACAAAGAAGCCUCCAUCUACUUGCUUAUAAGUUGCUUUGUAAGCCAUAGCCUAUCCUACCCAUGCAACAACCAAUUUUUUUGGCUUGCACAUUCGUGCGCCACAUCGGCACAUAAGGUGGCAUGCCUAAUGCUAACCUUUUACUCAGUGGCAUCAAA